rnacentral:rRNA from 1 species
GCCUGCAUGAAGCCGGAAUUGCUAGUAAUGGCAGGUCAGCAUACUGCCGUGAAUACGUUCCCGGGCCUUGUACACACCGCCCGUCACACCAUGAGAGUUGGGGAUACCCAAAGCCCGUGAGCCAACUUUAAAAGAGGCAGCGGUCUAAGGUAGAAUCAAUGAUUGGGGUGAAGUCGUAACAAGGUACC